AGCGAACGCUGGCGGCAUGCCUAACACAUGCAAGUCGAGCGCUCCCAGCAAUGGGGGAGCGGCGGACGGGUGAGUAACGCGUAGGAACGUAUCCUGAGGUGGGGGAUAACCCUGGGAAACUAGGGCUAAUACCGCAUGAUGGCGAGAGCCCAAAGAUUUAUCGCCUUGGGAGCGGCCUGCGUCUGAUUAGCUGGUUGGUGGGGUAACGGCCUACCAAGGCGAUGAUCAGUAGCUGGUCUGAGAGGAUGAUCAGCCACACUGGGACUGAGACACGGCCCAGACUCCUACGGGAGGCAGCAGUGGGGAAUAUUGGACAAUGGGCGAAAGCCUGAUCCAGCAAUGCCGCGUGGAUGAAGAAGGUCUUCGGAUUGUAAAGUCCUUUCGGCGGGGACGAUGAUGACGGUACCCGCAGAAGAAGCCCCGGCUAACUUCGUG
rnacentral:rRNA from 1 species